UCGUGCAUUGAAACUAAAAUUUCUUUGUGGAAAUAAUGGCUAUAAAGCACUUAUUGAUCAAGGAUAUCCAUUUCCAAGUUUGCGGACAUUAAGACGAAAACUAGAGGAUUUUAAAUUUGAGCCUGGAAUUUCAAAUACAUUAUUUGAAUUUUUACAAAAUAAGAAAGCUUGUUUUGAAAACGAAGCGGAUUUGGAAUGCGGUCUAGUAUUCGAUGAGAUGGCGAUUACGCAAAAAAUUCGUUAUAAUUCGUCAACGGGAUCAUUAAGUGGAAACAUAACGUUUCCUAACGAAAAAGGUUGAUUCGAAUUACGCGCGCUUCGCAUUUAUGCGUUCCGGAGUUCCGAGUUCCGAGCUCGGUUUCGCCUCUCGAAUGCGUGCAUUCGUUUAUGCAUUCGUCUUGGCGCGCGUCCUUGCGACGUACGACGACGUCGUAGACGCAGGCACCGGGUGUCCGGACGGGCUUCGCCAUUUGGAGGCGGGAGGCAUUAAUUAAAGAAGUUUUGCAGCGGUUAACGCAGCAGACAAGACAUUUUGCUCAAGACAAGACAAGACAUUUUGCUCAAGACAAGACAUUUUGCCCGCAGACAAGAGAAUAAUAUGCAGGAAAAUAAUAGUAUUUCCCGCAACCGCGUGUGCAACGGGUCGUGUUCGUCGGCCAUCAAGGCCUCAUACGCUGUUAAGCGUCUUCCCGCGACUGCAUGUGCACCGAUAUCGCAUUUUGUCUCCAGAAUGCUGCAACCAGUUUCUUAUAUGUUUUACAAUUAAUGCGAUAGUACAAUAAAUAACGGAGGAUUGUCCACGCAGCUUUAUCAAAGAAGUGCAGACAUGGGUUUAAGAGUGCCGUUUAACAUAGCAUUGUAUUCUUUGCUGACUUACAUGAGCUGACGCUCAUACAAGUUCUGACGACGGAAUCAGCAAUGAGGAAAAUCUGCCUAACGCUGAAGAAAUCAAUGAUAAUGAGGAAAAUCAUUCUCAUAACGAUGACGAACUAUUUAACAACCAACAAAUUAACGAUGAAAAUCAGGUUUUAGAUCCAGAGAUUGUUCUCCCACUUGAACAUGUAAAUGUAAACGGCGAUAUACGAGAAAUUUGUGAUUGUAACAAAUUAAUUCGCCACCAACUUAAUCAGUUUGAAACAGAGAUGAGAAACGAAAUAAUUAAAAAUAUAACAAAAUUGCAAGAAAUACUUGCAAUUUUAAGAGAUAAAUAUCCAAGAAAUGAAGGAAACAAUGAAGUAACUAUGGAUUUAAUACCUGAUUUGCCAUUUAAUCCAUUUACAUCCGUCGAGGAGUAUGUUUAACGAGACACUAAAAAAUGAUGAAACAAUUCGUAAAU